GAGACAGCAGCCGCCGCGGGAAUACGGAGGGUGCAAGCGUUAAUCGGAAUUACUGGGCGUAAAGCGCACGCAGGCGGUCUGUCAAGUCAGAUGUGAAAUCCCCGGGCUUAACCUGGGAACUGCAUUUGAACCUGGCAGGCUAGAGUCUUGUAGAGGGGGGUAGAAUUCCAGGUGUAGCGGUGAAAUGCGUAGAGAUCUGGAGGAAUACCGGUGGCGAAGGCGGCCCCCUGGACAAAGACUGACGCUCAGGUGCGAAAGCGUGGGGAGCAAACAGGAUUAGAGACCCCUGUAGUCCCUGUCUCUUAUAC
rnacentral:rRNA from 1 species